AAAAUAGCAACGCAAGUCCAAACCUCAAAAAUAGUUGUUGAAAAAAACCUAAAAUUUUAAAAACAAAAGUACAAAAUUGUUUUUACAAGUGUCAACACUCACAUACAACAUACAAGGGAGCAAAAUCAUGGUGCUAUCCACCAGUGAUAGACUUGAUUCAUUAAUUACUAAGGGCAGUUGGAUGCAAACACAAGUACUAUCCACUGAUGAUAGACAUGAUUCAUUAAUUACUAUGUCUUCUUAAUAUAGUAGAGCUAUGAAAAACGUCACAAGGUCCUCAAUUCAAGAAGGUUUGAAAAUAAACAUAUAUAAUUCACGCACAAAUGUGGCGUCAUUAACUGAACCUUCAGUCACAAAAAUGCAACAGAUGCAAAGUACAGAGGUUCACCCAAAAACAAUGCAAUUGAUUUUCCUGAAGUUUACGGGAGCCAAGUACACAGAAGGUAACUAAGCCCUGCUUUUUUAAAUCAGGUUUCAAAAAUUGAAAAAACUUAAACAUGACCAAAUGUAGCAUCAUUAACUGAACCUUAAUUCACAAAAAUGCAACAGAUGCAAAGUACAGAGGUUCACCCAAAAACAAUGCAGCUGAUUUUCCUGAAGUUUAGGGGGGCCAAGUUCACAAAAGGUAACUAAGCCCUGCUUU
rnacentral:lncRNA from 1 species